ACAGGAUUAGAUACCCUGGUAGUCCACGCCGUAAACGAUGUCGACUUGGAGGUUGUGCCCUUGAGGCGUGGCUUCCGGAGCUAACGCGUUAAGUCGACCGCCUGGGGAGUACGGCCGCAAGGUUAAAACUCAAAUGAAUUGACGGGGGCCCGCACAAGCGGUGGAGCAUGUGGUUUAAUUCGAUGCAACGCGAAGAACCUUACCUGGUCUUGACAUCCACGGAAGUUUUCAGAGAUGAGAAUGUGCCUUCGGGAACCGUGAGACAGGUGCUGCAUGGCUGUCGUCAGCUCGUGUUGUGAAAUGUUGGGUUAAGUCCCGCAACGAGCGCAACCCUUAUCCUUUGUUGCCAGCGGUCCGGCCGGGAACUCAAAGGAGACUGCCAGUGAUAAACUGGAGGAAGGUGGGGAUGACGUCAAGUCAUCAUGGCCCUUACGACCAGGGCUACACACGUGCUACAAUGGCGCAUACAAAGAGAAGCGACCUCGCGAGAGCAAGCGGACCUCAUAAAGUGCGUCGUAGUCCGGAUUGGAGUCUGCAACUCGACUCCAUGAAGUCGGAAUCGCUAGUAAUCGUGGAUCAGAAUGCCACGGUGAAUACGUUCCCGGGCCUUGUACACACCGCCCGUCACACCAUGGGAGUGGGUUGCAAAAGAAGUAGGUAGCUUAACCUUCGGGAGGGCGCUUACCACUUUGUGAUUCAUGACUGGGGUGAAGUCGUAACAAGGUAACCGUAGGGGAACCUGCGGUUGGAUCACCUCCUUA
rnacentral:rRNA from 1 species